rnacentral:rRNA from 1 species
AACAAACGCUGGCGGCGUGCCUAAUACAUGCAAGUCGAACGGGGAAAGCUUUCGGGUGAGUACUAGUGGCGCACGGGUGAGGAACGCGUGGAUAAUCUGCCUUAGAGUGGGGGAUAACUAGUCGAAAGAUUAGCUAAUACCGCAUAAGACCACAGGAGCUGCGGCUCUAGGGGUCAAAGGUUUUUCGCUCUAAGAUGAGUCCGCGUAAGAUUAGCUAGUUGGUGAGGUAACGGCUCACCAAGGCGACGAUCUUUAACUGGUCUGAGAGGAUGAUCAGUCACACUGGAACUGAGACACGGUCCAGACUCCUACGGGAGGCAGCAGUAGGGAAUAUUGCACAAUGGAGGAAACUCUGAUGCAGCGACGCCGCGUGAGUGAUGAAGGCCUUCGGGUCGUAAAGCUCUGUCGCAGGGGAAUAACACAAUGAAUGUACCCUGUAAGAAAGGAUCGGCUAACUUCGUGCCAGCCGCCGCGGUAAGAC